ACUCAUACCUUGCAGGGGAAAUGCCAUGUCAUAAAUGUGGUUUUCCUAGGGGGAGGUUCAUCCAUUGCACUUUGGGUAUGCUGAUCCCUAUGAUUUCCCCAAAUGUGGGAAACUCAACUGCAUAAUUUAUGUCAAUGGGAGAUUGUACUUGUGAUUAACCCUG
rnacentral:snRNA from 1 species